UACAGAGGUCCCAAGCGUUGUUCGGAUUCAUUGGGCGUAAAGGGUGCGUAGGUGGCAUGGUAAGUCGGGUGUGAAAUCCCGGGGCUCAACCCCGGAACUGCACUCGAUACUGCCGUGCUCGAGUACUGGAGAGGAGACUGGAAUUUACGGUGUAGCAGUGAAAUGCGUAGAUAUCGGGAGGAACACCAGUGGCGAAGGCGGCUUCCUGGACCUGUUCUGACACUGAGGAGCGAAAGCGUGGGGAGCGAUCCGG
rnacentral:rRNA from 1 species